rnacentral:rRNA from 1 species
AAUUUUGGACAAUGGGCGCAAGCCUGAUCCAGCCAUGCCGCGUGAGUGAAGAAGGCCUUCGGGUUGUAAAGCUCUUUCGGACGGAAAGAAAUCGCGCAGGCUAAUACCCUGCGCGGAUGACGGUACCGUCAUAAGAAGCACCGGCUACCUACGUGCCAGCAGCCGCGGUAAUACGUAGGGUGCGAGUGUUAAUCGGAAUUACUGGGCGUAAAACGGGCGCAGGCGGGUGAAUAAGACAGGCGUGAAAUCCCCGGGCUUAACCCGGGAACCGCGCUUGUGACUGGGCAGCUAGAGUACGGCAGGGGGGGGGGGAAUUCCACGUGUAGCAGGGAAAUGCGUAGAGAUGUGGAGGAACACCGAUGGCGAAGGCAGCCCCCUGGGCCGAUACUGACGCCCAUGCACGAAAGCGUGGGUAGCAAACAGG